CAGCCCUGCAAACAACAUAGUUAUGGAACAUAAGAAUAACCUGGCUUCAGGCAUGCGAGUUCCCAAAUCUCUGCCGUAUAUUCUGCCAUGGAAAAACAAUGGAAAUACACAGUAACUGAAUACCUAUCUCAUCAAAUGCCAGACCUUAGAAGACUCUUGCUUCUUCCUGCUCCAGUGGGUUCUUCAUUUUCCUCCAUCUAAUUAUAGAAUGAUAAACUCUGUGACUUUCUAAACUGACAAGUACAGUUUUUUCAUCCCCCUCUUGAAUCCUCAUUUGAUACAAGAACCUUCAUACUCAGAAGCUUUCAAAUAAACCUGUGAUAUAGAU